rnacentral:rRNA from 1 species
CCUGGUGGCGAGUGGCGAACGGGUGAGUAAUACAUCGGAACAUGUCCUGUAGUGGGGGAUAGCCCGGCGAAAGCCGGAUUAAUACCGCAUACGAUCUUUGGAUGAAAGCGGGGGACCUUCGGGCCUCGCGCUAUAGGGUUGGCCGAUGGCUGAUUAGCUAGUUGGUGGGGUAAAGGCCUACCAAGGCGACGAUCAGUAGCUGGUCUGAGAGGACGACCAGCCACACUGGGACUGAGACACGGCCCAGACUCCUACGGGAGGCAGCAGUGGGGAAUUUUGGACAAUGGGCGAAAGCCUGAUCCAGCAAUGCCGCGUGUGUGAAGAAGGCCUUCGGGUUGUAAAGCACUUUUGUCCGGAAAGAAAUCCUUGGUUCUAAUAUAGCCGGGGGAUGACGGUACCGGAAGAAUAAGCACCGGCUAACUACGUGCCAGCAGCCGCGGUAAUACGUAGGGUGCGAGCGUUAAUCGGAAUUACUGGGCGUAAAGCGUGCGCAGGCGGUUUGCUAAGACCGAUGUGAAAUCCCCGGGCUCAACCUGGGAACUGCAUUGGUGACUGGCAGGCUAGAGUAUGGCAGAGGGGGGUAGAAUUCCACGUGUAGCAGUGAAAUGCGUAGAGAUGUGGAGGAAUACCGAUGGCGAAGGCAGCCCCCUGGGCCAAUA